rnacentral:rRNA from 1 species
AGAGUUUGAUCAUGGCUCAGGACGAACGCUGGCGGCGUGCNUAACACAUGCAAGUCGAACGCUAAUCAAACUUAUGAAGUUUCGGCUGAAUAAGUUUGAGGAAAGUGGCGGACGGGUGAGUAACGCGUGGGUAACCUGCCCUGUAGUGGGGGAUAGCCUCGGGAAACCGGGAUUAAUACCGCAUACACUUAUCACUCGCAUGAGAGAUAAGAAAAAGUGCUUUAGCGCUACAGGAUGGACCCGCGUCCCAUUAGCUAGUUGGUGAGAUAAUAGCUCACCAAGGCGACGAUGGGUAGCCGACCUGAGAGGGUGAUCGGCCACACUGGGACUGAGACACGGCCCAGACUCCUACGGGAGGCAGCAGUGGGGAAUAUUGCGCAAUGGGGGAAACCCUGACGCAGCAACGCCGCGUGAGUGAUGAAGGCUUUCGGGUCGUAAAACUCUGUCUUUGGGGAUGAAUAAAUGACAGUACCCAAGGAGGAAGCCCCGGCUAACUACGUGCCAGCAGCCGCGGUAAUACGUAGGGGGCAAGCGUUGUCCGGAAUCACUGGGCGUAAAGGGCGCGUAGGCGGUCUAUUAAGUCAGAUGUGAAAGUCCCAGGGCUCAACCCUGGAAUUGCAUUUGAAACUGAUAGACUUGAGUACUGGAGAGGUAAGUGGAAUUCCUAGUGUAGCGGUGAAAUGCGUAGAUAUUAGGAGGAACCACCAGUGGCGAAGGCGGCUUACUGGACAGUUACUGACGCUGAGGCGCGAAAGCGUGGGGAGCGAACAGGAUUAGAUACCCUGGUAGUCCACGCCGUAAACGAUGAGUGCUAGGUGUCGGGGAGACUCGGUGCCGCAGUUAACACAAUAAGCACUCCGCCUGGGGAGUACGGUCGCAAGACUGAAACUCAAAUGAAUUGACG